AUUAGUUCUUGUGUCAAAAAGAUUAAUAAAAUUUGUUUAGGAGUGAAAUGUUUUUCGUUUUUACUAAUAUCUAGUAACUUUAGAAAAAAAUCUAGUUUGUUUUGUUGAGGAUUUCUUUAUUUUAAAGAAAAUUUAUGUAUAAAAAUAUGCGUUAGGGGAUGAGCUCUAGUGCAAAUUUAUAAGGAAAAAGAUUUUUGAGUUUUUAGUAGGCUUAGAAUUGGCUAUGGAAUAGUGUUAUAAGAUAGAAAUUUAAGUUUAUGAUUUUGUUUUCUUUAAAUUAUAUAAAGUUAAGGAAAAAAUAAAAUAUAUUUGGAAAAUAUGAUAGUAUAAGUAGAUGUAAUUGAAUUUUGGAAUAAAUAAAUAAAUUUUCCAUUGUGAUUUUUAGAAUAAAUUGUUAUAAAAGAACUCGGCAAAAUAGAUUUCCGAAUGUUUAACAAAAACAUUUCCUCUCAAUUAGGUGAGGUAAGGCCUGCUCACUGAGUAUUAAAGAGCCGCAGUAUCCUGACUGUGCUAAGGUAGCAUAAUCAUUAGUCUUUUAAUUGGAGACUGGUAUGAAUGGCUAAACGAGAAAUCGACUUUUUUAUAAUAGGAAUUGAAUUUAAUUUUUUAGUGAAAAAGCUAAAAUUUUUCAGAAAGACGAGAAGACCCUAUAGAGUUUUAUAUUUUGGAGAAUUUCUUUUUAUUAGGUUUUCUUAAAAGAAUUUUUUUUAAAGUAUUUUGUUGGGGCGACAUUAAGAUAAAAGAAACUCUUUAUUUUUUGUACUUUAAUGAAAGAAUGGCAUGAUCCUUUAUAAAAGAUCAUAAGAAAAAAUUACCUUAGGGAUAACAGCGUAAUCUUUUUUGAGAGUUCUAAUCGACAAAAAGGUUUGCGACCUCGAUGUUGGACUAAAAUUUAGGCA
rnacentral:rRNA from 1 species